GACGAACGCUGGCGGCGCGCUUAACACAUGCAAGUCGAGCGGUAAGGCUCCUUCGGGAGUACACGAGCGGCGAACGGGUGAGUAACACGUGAGCAAUCUGCCCUUCACAUCGGAAUAACCGCCGGAAACGGCGGCUAAUACCGGAUACCACCAUCGCAGGCAUCUGCUGAUGGUGGAAAGCUCCGGCGGUGGAGGAUGAGCUCGCGGCCUAUCAGCUUGUUGGUGGGGUAACGGCCUACCAAGGCGACGACGGGUAGCCGGCCUGAGAGGGUGACCGGCCACACUGGGACUGAGACACGGCCCAGACUCCUACGGGAGGCAGCAGUGGGGAAUAUUGGACAAUGGGCGCAAGCCUGAUCCAGCAACGCCGCGUGAGGGAUGACGGCCUUCGGGUUGUAAACCUCUUUCAGCAGGGACGAAGCGCAAGUGACGGUACCUGCAGAAGAAGCACCGGCCAACUACGUGCCAGCAGCCGCCGUAACAC
rnacentral:rRNA from 1 species